GUGUGUAUUCUACGACAACCGGAACAAGCUUACUGUGAUCAGACUUUAAGUAGCCAACCUUAACAAAACAAAUAAGUAUCAGUCCCGUUUAAAAAUGAACCGAAUUUUCGGUCGGAGCAAACAAACGCCUACUCCUUACCUUUCUGACUGCGUAGGCAAUGUGGAUACGAGGAUCGAGUCAAUCGAUAAGAAAAUAACGAGAAUCGACGCAGAGCUAAUGAAGUAUAAGGACCAGAUGAAAAAGAUGAGGGAUGGACCCUCA